rnacentral:rRNA from 1 species
CCCUUAGAUGUUCUGGGCCGCACGCGUGCUACACUGAGUGGAUCAGCGGGUCAGGUUGCGCGAAAGCGUUUCCUAAUCUUUAAAUCCGCUCGUGAUGGGGAUUGACGGUUGCAAUUUUCUGUCAUGAACGAGGAAUACCUUGUAAGCGCGGGUCAUCAUCCCGCGCUGAAUACGUCCCUGCCCUUUGUACACACCGCCCGUCGCACCUACCGAUUGAGUGGUCCGGUGAGGCUUUGGGAUCUGAGCGGAAAGAGCGUUUCGCUGUUUCUGCUCGGAAAACUCAGUCGAACCUUAUCAUUUAGAGGAAGGAGAAGUCGUAACA